AUACGGAGGGCGCAAGCGUUGCCCGGAAUCACUGGGUGUAAAGGGUGCGUAGGCGGGGCUGUAAGUCAGAUGUGAAAGCCCUCGGCUCAACCGGGGAAUUGCCUCUGAUACUGCAGCUCUUGAGUCCCGGAGAGGCCGCUGGAAUUCCUGGUGUAGCGGUGAAAUGCGUAGAUAUCAGGAGGAACACCGGAGGCGAAGGCGGGCGGCUGGACGGGGACUGACGCUGAGGCACGAAAGCGUGGGGAGCAAACAGGAUUAGAAACCCUAGUAGUCC
rnacentral:rRNA from 1 species